GUUUUGCGUUAGGGAUUGUAAUGACAUCCUUUUUUUGUUUUUCUCAAAAAAAGAUAUAAUGGAAAGCCCGCUCGAAC
rfam:Tenacibaculum sp. LPB0136, complete genome.